rnacentral:rRNA from 1 species
AUUGAACGCUGGCGGCAGGCUUAACACAUGCAAGUCGAGCGGGGUGAUGGUGCUUGCACUAUCACUUAGCGGCGGACGGGUGAGUAAUGCUUAGGAAUCUGCCUAGUAGUGGGGGACAACAUCUCGAAAGGGAUGCUAAUACCGCAUACGUCCUUCGGGAGAAAGCAGGGGAUCACUUGUGACCUUGCGCUAAUAGAUGAGCCUAGGUCGGAUUAGCUAGUUGGUGGGGUAAAGGCCUACCAAGGCGACGAUCUGUAGCGGGUCUGAGAGGAUGAUCCGCCACACUGGGACUGAGACACGGCCCAGACUCCUACGGGAGGCAGCAGUGGGGAAUAUUGGACAAUGGGGGGAACCCUGAUCCAGCCAUGCCGCGUGUGUGAAGAAGGCCUUAUGGUUGUAAAGCACUUUAAGCGAGGAGGAGGCUCUUUUGGUUAAUACCCAAGAUGAGUGGACGUUACUCGCAGAAUAAGCACCGGCUAACUCUGUGCCAGCAGCCGCCGUAA